rnacentral:tRNA from 1 species
GAGGAUUUAACUUAAUUAAAGUGUUUGAUUUGCGUUCAAUUUAUGUAAGUUUUAGUCUUGCAGUCCUUG